rnacentral:rRNA from 1 species
UGCCAGACUCCUACGGGAGGCAGCAGUGAGGAAUAUUGGUCAAUGGCCGGAAGGCUGAACCAGCCAAGCCGCGUGAAGGACGAAGGUGCCAAGCAUUGUAAACUUCUUUUGUCAAGGGACAAAAUCAGGCUCGAGAGCCUGACCGAGGGUACUUGAAGAAAAAGCACCGGCUAACUCCGUGCCAGCAGCCGCGGUAAUACGGGGGGUGCAAGCGUUGUCCGGAAUCAUUGGGCGUAAAGAGUUCGUAGGCGGCACGUAAAGUCUGGUGUUAAAGGCAGAGGCUCAACUUCUGUACGGCACUGGAUACUUGCGAGCUAGAAUGCGGUAGAGGUAAAGGGAAUUCCUGGUGUAGCGGUGAAAUGCUUAGAUAUCAGGAGGAACAUCGGUGGCGUAAGCGCUUUACUGGGCCGUAAUUGACGCUGAGGAACGAAAGCCAGGGUAGCAAAUGGGAUUAGAUACCCCAGUA